rnacentral:rRNA from 1 species
CAAGACCUUGCGCUCUUGGAGCGGCCGAUGUCUGAUUAGCUAGUUGGUGAGGUAAUGGCUUACCAAGGCGACGAUCGGUAGCUGGUCUGAGAGGACGACCAGCCACACUGGGACUGAGACACGGCCCAGACUCCUACGGGCGGCAGCAGUGGGGAAUUUUGGAAAAGUGGGGCAACCCUGAUCCAGCCAUGCCGCGUGGGUGAAGAAGGCCUUCGGGUUGUAAAGCUCUUUCAGCCGGAACGAAACGGUCACGGCUAAUACCCGUGAUCACUGACGGUACCGGAAGAAGAAGCACCGGCUAACUACGUGCCAGCAGCCGCGGUAAUACGUAGGGUGCAAGCGUUAAUCGGAAUUACUGGGCGUAAAGCGUGCGCAGGCGGUUUUGUAAGUCAGAUGUGAAAGCCCCGGGCUUAACCUGGGAACU